AAAGGGAAGGAGGAGGCAACAACCUCUACAAUGAAGAAUUAAAAGAGACUCUCUCUAGGAUUAGUUCGUCAGAGGAGAGAGAGCGCUACAUUUUAAUGGAUUUUAUAAAUGCUCCGUCUUUUCCUAAUUUUGUUUUAAAAAAAGGCGAAAAGUCCAUCAAAAAAAUGAGAGUCAUCAGUGAACUGGGAAUAUAUGGUGCUUAUGUAAGAAGAAACAAUGAGGUUUUGCUGAACACUGCACCAGGUCAUUUAUUAAGGAGCAAGCCGUCGGACUGUGAUGAAGGGGGUGUGUCUAUUGGCGUUGCUGCAUUAGAUUCACUGCAUUUAAUGUCUAACAAUGAUUAUUAUAAAGUCCUACAUGACAACAGCUAAUUUAACCAUUUUAUAUCAUUGAAUGUGUCCUUUGAGACACUUUCUUUUCAAUAAUGAUCCUUUCUUCUGAUUUUGAA